ensembl:lncRNA novel transcript
GAAAUAAUUUCUUAUAAGUCAUUAAUAACUGAAGUAAGCAUUAAUUGAACCUUUAAACAGUUAAACUUACAAUAAUUAUUUUGAAGAUCAUCUUGCCUUAAAAACUUCAAGAUCUUUGAGGGGAUAAUUUGCCAUCUUAGUAUUUAGAAGAACUGUGUUUGUGUCUAUAUGAGGGAGAUCAGAUUAUAAUAGAAGGAUUUGGUAAAAUGAAGAGAAAGUUUUGAAUGGGCUAAACAGGAAUUCAAGGACUUCUUAUAAUACAUUCCAGAGCUCAGCAACUCUUUUUUUAUAUUGCCUGCUGUUUGGGAUUAUAUUCAUCAUUGCUGCCUUCAGUUACAGGGCAAAAUGCUGAAUGGCAGAAGGCUGAAGAAAAGCUAAAAGCUCCGUCCUAUUGAGAAGUUCAUCACAGGGAAGACUCCACUGAAGUAAUCAGAUGCCUUUCCUGCUGCCCUGAGUCUUUAACUGUCCAAAGGGAGUCCUGAACCCAAAGCUGUUUCAGCUGCAUGCGAUUGUUAGGAUCAUUCACUCAUACCUCUUCGUUUAGGAUAGAGAACAAUCAGGCAAAGAAAGGGGAGGACUAACCCAAGGUCAGAUAAUUAGCUAAGGGCAUCAGAACCCACAGUUCAGGGUUGUUAGUACCACAUCAAGCUCCCUUGCAAAUUAGCUUCAUAAAUUCUAAGCCCACAGGCUCAGGGCUCAUCUGAAAGAGAUGGACCAGAGAGGAGGAGAUGGAGAAAAAAGUCUCCUACCACACACUGGAACCACUUUUACAGAAGUGCCUGUUGUCUCCCCUGCACCCCUGCACUCCCAACCCCAACAAUGCCAGGCAGCAAGCUGUUGCAGAAAGGAAGCAGGCUGCUGCCCCUGCAGUGUUCAGGCCUCCUCCUGGCAGGGCUCCCUCUACCUGAAUCCAUCUCAGGGAAAUGGUCAUCUCUGACUAUGCUGCACAGAGCCUGCAAAGCUAUGUUAAUAAUCUCUCUGGGCCUUAAACUGAAUAACCAAGAUUUCGCACAUGUACCAUUCACUUCCCACUUAAUAUGCACACUCAAUUUACACAGGAAGUAUGCCUAAGGCUCUUUCAAUGACUGUAUGUGACUACACAUAGGGUUUUUCUUUUAUAACAGAUUGGCAAAUGCCUGAGGUGGUAUGAGUGUGAUGUUGCUGGAAAACCUUAGUUGAAAUUCCUAGACUAUAUGAAAUCCUUUUUAAAUCUCCUUAUUCUGAAAACAUAUUUUUUUAAAAAAAAUUUAGACCACUCAUGGGAUUUAAAGUAAAAAGUACAAAUAUACUGUA